rnacentral:rRNA from 1 species
AUCGAUAACCCACGUUAANUUUCAUUUUAAUUUAAAAUUUAUAUACCGCCAUCUCAAGAAUUAAUUUAAAAAUAUUUCUCAAAAUAAUAAAUAAAAAGUUAGGUCAAGGUGUAAUUUACAAUAAAAAAUAAAUGAAUUACAUUAAAAACAAUUUAAAAAUUAUUAAUAAAUAUAUUUACAUGAAUAAGGAUUUAAAAGUAAUAUAUUAAUAAUAUUAUAAUAUGAUAUAAAUAAUAAAUGUGCACACAUCGCCC